UACAGAGGGGGCAAGCGUUGUUCGGAAUUACUGGGCGUAAAGGGCGCGUAGGCGGCCUGUUAAGUCGAACGUGAAAUCCCCGGGCUCAACCCGGGAACUGCGUCCGAUACUGGCAGGCUUGAAUUCGGGAGAGGUGAGUGGAACUGCGAGUGUAGAGGUGAAAUUCGUAGAUAUUCGCAAGAACACCAGUGGCGAAGGCGGCUCACUGGCCCGGUACUGACGCUGAGGUGCGAAAGCGUGGGGAGCAAACAGG
rnacentral:rRNA from 1 species